UUUAAAGAGAGUUUGAUCCUGGCUCAGGACGAACGCUGGCGGCGUGCCUAAUACAUGCAAGUCGAACGAACGGAGGAAGAGCUUGCUCUUCCAAAGUUAGUGGCGGACGGGUGAGUAACACGUGGGCAACCUGCCUGUAAGUUGGGGAUAACUCCGGGAAACCGGGGCUAAUACCGAAUGAUAAAGUGUGGCGCAUGCCACGCUUUUGAAAGAUGGUUUCGGCUAUCGCUUACAGAUGGGCCAGCGGUGCAUUAG
rnacentral:rRNA from 1 species